GUGGGGAAUCUUCCGCAAUGGACGAAAGUCUGACGGAGCAACGCCGCGUGAGUGAUGAAGGUCUUCGGAUUGUAAAGCUCUGUUAAUCGGGACGAAAGAGCCUAGUGUGAAUAAUGCUAGGAAGUGACGGUACCGGAAUAGAAAGCCACGGCUAACUACGUGCCAGCAGCCGCGGUAAUACGUAGGUGGCAAGCGUUGUCCGGAAUUAUUGGGCGUAAAGCGCGCGCAGGCGGAUCUGCCAGUCUGUCUUAAAAGUUCGGGGCUUAACCCCGUGAUGGGAUGGAAACUACAGAUCUAGAGUAUCGGAGAGGAAAGUGGAAUUCCAAGUGUAGCGGUGAAAUGCGUAGAGAUUUGGAAGAACACCAGUGGCGAAGGCGACUUUCUGGACGAUGUCUGACGCUGAGGCGCGAAAGCUAGGGGAGCGAACGGGAUUAGAUACCCUUGUAGUCC
rnacentral:rRNA from 1 species